rnacentral:pre_miRNA from 1 species
CACUUAAAAGCACUCAUGAGUGAAUUUCUACAUUAUUUUGCUCAUGGCUUAUCACCAUCCGAAGUCCAUUAGACAUGAUCGUCAAAUAUUGUUUGGAUUUGAAUCAUUUUUCUACAGAUCAGAUUGACUUGAAAUUUUGUGGACGUGUGCGCCUUAGUGAGGUAUACCAAAAUAAAAUAUUAAAAAUACAAUCCAAAUAUUAAAUUAUCUCAAUGAAUAUUUCAAGGGUAUUUUUGUUGUUUUAUUUUUUGAUAAUUAUUUUUAAAUAUUUAUUUAGGUGUAAGUUGGUUAGAUGUACACACGCUCUAAAUUUUAGGUCAAUCUAAUUUGUAGAAAAAUUGUUAAAAUUCAAACACUAUUAAACAAAUGUGACCUUAUGAUGGACUUUGGAUGGUUAUAAGCCUUAAAUGGAAUAUUGUAGAAAUUCACUCAUGAGUGUUUGUAAGUG